rnacentral:lncRNA from 1 species
GUUGUGUGUUAAUAUCCAGUGAAACAGAUGUGUGAUGAAUUAUGAUUGUGGUUAUGAUGCUAAGCAGGGUGUACGAAUGAAUGAUGUGUGAGAAAGCAUGUUGUGUGAGGUUUUGAGCUCCAGAGUUUUUAUUAUUAAAUGCAUUGUUCACAGGAAAACAUGAAUGAUAUUGCCUUAAUCUUGAUAAUUGACAGAAUUGCAUGUGAAUGUCAUAUGAUCAAUGCCAUUUUUGAGAACCCUUUCUAGCCAAAUUUACACCCAAAGUGCUUGAAAAUUUUAUACCAUUUUUGAACCUUAGCCUUAAACAGGAUGUGAACCCUUGUCUUGAAAUUUUCUACCUUGAGUUGGGAUGAGCUUAAUUGUAUGCAAUGAAAAGGUUCAAGUUUGGGGUUGCAUGGGGGAAAUUAAAAGGCAAAUGGAAAUCAUUGAGCUCAAAUGUUGUGAAAAUAAAAAUUCAUGAGAAAAAGAAAAGAAAAGAAGAAAAGCAUGAAGAUGAGCUCAAUGAAAAAGAAAAGGGGAAAAAUUUGGGAAUGAGUGAGAUUGGUGAGGGAGAGAGUUGUGCUUACAAUUUAAAUACCAUGGUAGCUCUCUUAACUCAAGAACUUUGUAUUCCAGAAAAACCAAUUUUUCUUGUCAGCCCAACCUCAUUACAAGCCUUGGAAAAGUCCUUUUGAUGGCAUUUGCAUGUAAAGAUGUUGAUUGUUUUAGAUGAAUGGAAAUUUUGUUUCAUGUGACUUGUGAAUAAUAGAGAGUUGGAGUGCUACCUU